UACGAAGGGGGGCUAGCGUUGCUCGGAAUUACUGGGCGUAAAGCGCACGCAGGUGGCUGAGUCAGUCGAUUGUGAAAGCCCUGGGCUUAACCUGGGAAUUGCAGUCGAUACUACUCGGCUCGAGUAUGGGAGAGGGCAGUGGAAUUCCCGGUGUAGCGGUGAAAUGCGUAGAUAUCGGGAGGAACAUCAGUGGCGAAGGCGGCUGCCGUGGCCCAAUACUGACACUCAGGUGCGACAGCGUGGGGAGCAAACAGG
rnacentral:rRNA from 1 species